CCUACGGGUGGCAGCAGUGGGGAAUAUUGGACAAUGGGGGCAACCCUGAUCCAGCCAUGCCGCGUGUGUGAAGAAGGCCCUCGGGUUGUAAAGCACUUUCAGUGAGGAAGAACGCCUGGUGGUUAAUACCCAUCAGGAAAGACAUCACUCACAGAAGAAGCACCGGCUAACUCCGUGCUAGCAGCCGCGGUAAUACGGAGGGUGCGAGCGUUAAUCGGAAUUACUGGGCGUAAAGCGCGCGUAGGUGGCUUGAUAAGCCGGUUGUGAAAGCCCCGGGCUCAACCUGGGAACGGCAUCCGGAACUGUCAAGCUAGAGUGCAGGAGAGGAAGGUAGAAUUCCCGGUGUAGCGGUGAAAUGCGUAGAGAUCGGGAGGAAUACCAGUGGCGAAGGCGGCCUUCUGGACUGGCACUGACACUGAGGUGCGAAAGCGUGGGUAGCAAACAGGAUUAGAUACCCGGGUAGUC
rnacentral:rRNA from 1 species